UUGGCGUACUCUGAAAGUUGAAAGUUUUGUAUUCAGCGGCGAAUCAAGGAUUAGGUUUUUUCUUGUCAAUAAAAACAUGUAGGAUUCCUAUGUGCUUCAAUUAAGUGUAUUUGUUAUUAGACCAAGGGAAAAUAAACUUUGGUGCAUAGGGAGUCUUCAAUGGCGGCGAGACUAUUCAUCUCAGUAGCUUUGGUGGCCUUUCUCUGUUGGGCAUCCCUUUCUGGAGCUUCUGAUACAAGCCCAGAAGUUGCUUUUGUCAAAAAAACCAUCUCUUCUCACGACAUCGUCAUCUUCUCAAAGUCCUAUUGCCCAUAUUGUAAAAGGGCAAAAGCUGUCUUCAAAGAGUUGAACCAGGUUCCUCAUGUAAUUGAGCUUAAUGAGAGAGCUGACGGCUCUGACAUUCAAGAUGCUCUUCUUGAGAUUGUUGGGAGGCGCACUGUGCCUCAGGUGUUCAUAAAUGGAAAGCACAUUGGAGGCUCAGAUGAUACCGUGGAAGCCUAUGAAAGUGGGAAACUGGCAAAGCUUCUAGGUAUUGCUGCUGAUGAAAAAGAAGAACUCUGAACCAGAACUAACAAAAGUGUUAUUCAGUGCUAGAAUAACUCAUUCGCGUUGCUUUGAAUGCGGUUGUUCCCGUAGAGAUGGUUUAGAGACGUUAUUAUGGAAAGAGCUAUUCUCUUUCUUUGCUGCAAAUGGUAUGUAUUAUUACUAUCUUUUCCUGUAUUUUAUUACUGUGAUUAUAUUGUUUGGAUCGUUAGAUAAUAAAAGAGAUGAUGGAAUAUAUUAAGUAAUUUAAAUUUUCUUACAAUUUUGCCUUGUAUUAUUUUUAAAUUUGGGCAUGAAUGCCCUCAUUUUAUUCUCAAAUAACAUA